AAUUUUCAAAUACCAUUUUCACUUGAAAUUUAUUCACUUUUUUUUGGAAUUUUACAAUUCUUAUGUCCAAAUGCCCACUAGAUCUCUGUUUUGACAACUACUUGAUAGAUAGACUUAUCUUCACAUAUCUUAUUUGUUUUAUCUUCAACUAUCUUCUCAAUAACUAAUGACUACUAAUGUCCUGUUUAACCUUGGUUCCAUGCUAUCUGAUUUUUCUUGGCUUUCUUCUUGGUGCGGCUGUUGUUGAGGUUUACACGGAAGGUUCAAUUCUGUUUUUUUUUUUGGUUUGUUGUCCAUUUGUGUGCUACUUUCAGCUUUACUGAAAUUUGCUAUUCCUUUGGUGCUUAUCUUGGGGAAUGUGCCGGAAUUUCACCCAGGUAUUUAUCAUCUUUUCAAGCUGAUGAGAUUUAUUAUGGUCCCCUUUCUGGUUGUGUGACCGGGAGAUCAAGUAAUUAUUCAACCCUGCAGCUUGGUAAGCUCCCACAUGAGCUUGACACUCAUUUACUUUAAUUUGCUCUACCUUUUGUUAGUCGUGCAAGCUCUUUUGUUGGACUUAAAGAAUAUGCUACAUUGGGAUGGUUAUAUAAUUAGAUGGAGGGGGAGUUCAUUUUCCAGUUAUGAGCUGCAACCAUGGUUAGAUCCUGUCCGCCCCAAUGAAAAGGGAGUUCCUUCUCUCUUCACUUACAUGUGUGAUGAUUUUGUGGGCGGGCUAGUAUUGUGCUGACUUUGAAGUUGUACGUGGUCCCUGCUUUCUAGCUUUCUGUGCUUUUGGUGUUGGAAGUUUCAUAGCAUUGUGAAUGGGACCUAUUACAUGAUGGGUUCACUGAUGAUGAUUAAUAGAAUUUCAGCCCUUUUUUUAUGGUUUUUGUGCUGGCAUCAUAGUUAUUUGUUUCCUAAGAUGUUCUGUCGGAGAGUUGUAUGGCUACCUAUAAGAGGAAAACAUGAUAUUCUAAAUUCUGUGUUGCGGAUGUGUGCAUGCCAAUGAUGUGUAUUGCCGUUUGAUACCCGAGUCAUGUUUGAUCACACGUUGGUGGGAUAGCAUCCAUUACAUGAAAGCUGGACAACUGCUCUAUUUGUAGUAAGGUGAUUAGCAGUGUUGUCAAAGGCUCAUUUAAGGCGCGCUUAAGUCCUAAAACUCAAAAAAAGCUUGGGGAGGGCGCUUCGCCCCACUUAAGUUGCGAUUCAGUGUAGGCAAGGCACCAAGAUGUGCCCCUUAUUACCCAUGAAUUUUAUCUUGAAUGGAGCAAUGCUAGACUACAAAUAUAAUCGGCAAAUAAGUGUAUUAGUUGUUAAGGAAAACAAUAUGAAUGAAUUUAUUACUUUUCUCUUGAAUUA